UACGGGGGGGGCAAGCGUUGUUCGGAAUUACUGGGCGUAAAGGGCUCGUAGGCGGCCAACUAAGUCAUACGUGAAAUCCCUCGGCUUAACCGGGGAACUGCGUCUGAUACUGGAUGGCUUGAGUUCGGGAGAGGGAUGCGGAAUUCCAGGUGUAGCGGUGAAAUGCGUAGAUAUCGAUAGGAACUCCGGUGGCGAAGGCGGCAUACUGGACCACAUCUGACGCUGAGGCGCGAAAGCCAGGGGAGCAAACGGG
rnacentral:rRNA from 1 species